UUGUGCUGUGCUGCAUUGAGAUAUCCAGAUACAAAAGCGACUGAGCUUUCGACUACCAUGUAUAUACUAGCUCCAUUGGGGAAAAAGGAAGUGGCCUUUCUUCUGCUGCUGUUGGCCAGCUCAAUGGGCAGCAUUGGUGGUGCACCACUUGAGGCCCCGGAGGUAUGUCUCUUCCAAUCUGGAUCUAUGGAAUGCUCACCGGGUAAAUUUAUAUAAUACUUAACCUGAUACCUUAUUAUAGAUAUAGAUUAAUGUGGCUCGUUUUCAUUUAAAUACUUUUUAGAUAUUAUAUUAUUUUACUAUAUAACUUUCUUAGGCUAAUAUCAGUUUUCCGCUUUUAAUCAGAUUUAAGAAACCAUAUACUAUAUAUAAGGUAUAUUUACGGUACCGUGAAUCAAUACUUUUAACUCACGUUUUUUUUUUUAAAUUUUUUUUACUUGUAUACCUAAAAUUUUAUUAAGUCGAAACACGUCUCUAGUUAUCUUUCACUUCUGCCAAAAAAAAAAAAAAAAAAUUUUUUUUAUUUUCUUAAAAUUACUGUCUCUAAUUUGGUUGACAUCCUUCAAUAUUUUAUUAUACCCUAGAUUUGCUUGAUACUUAUAAAUUUUUUGUAGACUCAUUGAAAUUGAUCAUCCUAAUAUGGGUUAGAUGGGUUGGCUGGCAAAAAUCCUCAGACCUAACCCUCCACGCGGGUGCCGGCUGGGCAAUGGACGCUUGAAGAAGUGUUGGAAUAAACGGAGAACACUCUUUCGUUUAUAUCUGACACAGCUUCGCGUUUAGCUAAGGACUCAAUGCAGCCCUCAAAUAGAGAGCUGAAAAUGAGCCAUGGUCUUGAGGUACUGAGAACAAUUCCGUAAAUAUAUUUCGUUCCAAAAAGAAUCUAUCUAUCUAAAAGAGCCUGGAAUAGAUUUUAAAUAGUUUACAAAACUUGUUCGCAUUGCUGACAGAGGUGCCUUAAAAAGUAAUAACCUUACAGUUGGGCGCUACCGAUUCCAGAAUACUCAUUCACAGCAGAUCAACAGUACUUUAGUCAUUGAACUCGAAGUUUAUAACUGUAUAACCACAGAUGAUAUGAUUACAUAAUGAUUCAUUCCUAUUGAUCUUGGUUUGUCAACCCGAAUACAUUUACAUUUAAUUUUUCAACUACUUAUCUACUUAUCUAGCAGUUCUGGCAUAACAUCUAGCAUUUCAAAUGCAUUUUCCGAUUUGCCACGCCCCACUGGGCGGAUGGCGAAAAAUUGAAGACUAUCAGACGAGCUUACAGAAGAGUAUACAUAAAUAUAUUCCUAAUUUCAAGACUCAUAAGGAUAGAAGGAUAAAUAAACAGACGGACGGACAGCGGCACAAAACUCAUUUCACUUCUUGAAGGAGUAUAAGAUGUAAGAGUGCUCUAUCCAAGACUUCUUGGAGUUCGCAUUCGCUGCAGAUAUAUAUAUGUACCCUAUUAAACCUCCACUUCUAUAGAGAAUCUAAUCAAUUAUGUAUUUAAUUAAUGUAUGUCGAGUAUUCAUAAACAACGCUAAUGAGCAUAUACCCCAUGGAUUCAUUGGUCCUUAGCUUAACUGGGACCUGGAUAAUUUGUACAAUUGUGACAAGGUAAAAUAUGUAAUAAAUUGUUAACUGACCUUUGUAUUAAAAACAGAAAAAUAAUCAAAAUUCAGUUUUUCUCUUUUAAAAAUCAUGUCUUGCAUUUAAUAAAUUAGCACAUAUUUUAUAAAUUUUAGCUAAUAAAAAGGUUUAAAGAAUCAGAAAUUCAUAGAAUAUCAACAAAAA